AUCGCUUCUCGGCUCAUUGAGCUAAGAUCAAAGUGUAGUAUCUGUUCUUAUCAGCUUAAUAUCUGAUACGCACUCCAUUGGAGUGCCAGAAUAUUAAACUGAUUUUUGGAAAUAGGUGGAUGCACGGAGCUUGCUCCGUUUCUACCGCAGGUUGACCCGGCAUUGCAGUACCGCCGGGACUGGCCUACUAAAC